rnacentral:rRNA from 1 species
CUUACACAUGCAAGUCGAGCGGAAGGCCCUUCGGGGUACUCGAGCGGCGAACGGGUGAGUAACACGUGAGCAACCUGCCCUAGGCUUUGGGAUAACCCUCGGAAACGGGGGCUAAUACCGAAUAUUACUUGGUCUCGCAUGAGGUUGGGUGGAAAGUUUUUCGGCCUAGGAUGGGCUCGCGGCCUAUCAGCUUGUUGGUGGGGUAAUGGCCUACCAAGGCGACGACGGGUAGCCGGCCUGAGAGGGCGACCGGCCACACUGGGACUGAGACACGGCCCAGACUCCUACGGGAGGCAGCAGUGGGGAAUAUUGCACAAUGGGCGGAAGCCUGAUGCAGCGACGCCGCGUGAGGGAUGACGGCCUUCGGGUUGUAAACCUCUUUCAGCAGGGACGAAGCGAGAGUGACGGUACCUGCAGAAGAAGCACCGGCCAACUACGUGCCAGCAGCCGCGGUAAGACGUAGGGUGCGAGCGUUGUCCGGAUUUAUUGGGCGUAAAGAGCUCGUAGGCGGCUUGUCGCGUCGACCGUGAAAACUUGGGGCUCAACUCCAAGCCUGCGGUCGAUACGGGCAGGCUAGAGUUCGGUAGGGGAGACUGGAAUUCCUGGUGUAGCGGUGAAAUGCGCAGAUAUCAGGAGGAACACCGGUGGCGAAGGCGGGUCUCUGGGCCGAUACUGACGCUGAGGAGCGAAAGCGUGGGGAGCGACAGAUAG